AAGAUAAGCGCCUUAGUUCUG
rnacentral:miRNA from 1 species